GACGGUACCUACAAAAGAAGCACCGGCUAACUAUGUGCCAGCAGCCGCGGUAAUACAUAGGGUGCAAGCGUUGUCCGGAAUUAUUGGGCGUAAAGAGCUCGUAGGUCGUUUGUUACGUCGGAUGUGAAAACCUGAGGCUCAACCUCAGGCCUGCAUUCGAUACGGGCAAACUAGAGUUUGGUAGGGGAGACUGGAAUUCCUGGUGUAGCGGUGGAAUGCGCAGAUAUCAGGAGGAACACCAAUGGCGAAGGCAGGUCUCUGGGCCAAUACUGACACUGAGGAGCGAAAGUCUGGGGAGCGAACAGGAUUAGAUACCCUGGUAGUCCAUACCGUAAACGGUGGGCACUAGUUGUGGGAACCUUCCACGGUUUCUGCGACGCAGCUAACGCAUUAAGUGCCCCGCCUGGGGAGUACGAUCGCAAGAUUAAAACUC
rnacentral:rRNA from 1 species